rnacentral:rRNA from 1 species
UUAGGCGGACGGGGUGGAGUAAACGGACGUCGGGAAAAACCUACGCCGUAGUACUGGGGGAGUAACAACUUAGAAGUAGUGCUAAUAACCGCAUAAGCGGCACAGCUUCGCAUGAAGCGGUGUGAAAAACUCUGGUGGUAUACGAUGGUUCCGCGUCUGAUUAGCUAGUUGGUGGGGGUAAUGGCCUACCAAGGCAACGAUCAGUAGCCGGCCUGAGAGGGUGAACGGCCACAUUGGGACUGAGACACGGCCCAAACUCCUACGGGAGGCAGCAG